GCGCUCUUAGUUCAGUUCGGUAGAACGCGGGUCUCCAA
rnacentral:tRNA from 1 species